rnacentral:rRNA from 1 species
CUGCUGCCUCCCGUAGGAGUUUGGGCCGUGUCUCAGUCCCAAUGUGGCCGUUCACCCUCUCAGGCCGGCUACUGAUCGUCGCUUUGGUGGGCCGUUACCCCACCAACUGGCUAAUCAGACGCGGAUCCAUCGUAUACCACCGGAGUUUUUCACACUGUUCCAUGCGGAACCGUGCGCUUAUGCGGUAUUAGCACCUAUUUCUAAGUGUUAUCCCCCUGUAUACGGCAGGUUAUCCACGCGUUACUCACCCGUCCGCCACUAA